ensembl:lncRNA
CCUUUAGCCGUCAAAGCUGCCAGACAUCCUGUGUGUACACAAGGAGAAACCGGAGUAGGAGGCGAGCCGUGAGCAAACAAGGCCAAUCUGUAUUUGAUAACAGGCAUCGCUUAGAAACAACUGCUAGGCUCAGUCGUCUACAAACACAGUGAUUGCUCCAUAUUAAAGCCAUUGCUGCCAGACAGAGCUGGCAUUGAAUCCAUGUGGAGCCUCCGUGUGGGAGGAUGCACACCAGCUCUAUAUUGGACACAGGGGAGGAAAAGAGACAAGGUCUUACUAUGUAGUCUGGAACUCACUAUGUGAACAAAGCUAAGUUUGAACUCCCAGAACACUGCCUGCCUGCCUGCCUGCCCGCCCGCCUGCCCGCUGGGUUUUAAAUCAGAGGAGGUGCCACCCUGGGAGCACACCCUUUCCUUGGUUGCUGUUUGAGACUGGGACCCAGGUUCUAACCCUUCGCCAGAGCCAAUCUCCUAGCUUCUUCUCCUAGGGCCUGGCAGUGCAGUGCUGAGCUGGACACAUGGCCGGCUGAGACUCCACUCUGCUUGUCAGCAAUGCAGUUUCCCUGUGAGAGCAUUCCCAAGGUCUUUCACAUCCAUUAUCACUGCAAACCCAUGUUGUUGGCAGCCCUGUUGUUUUGUUCCCUCUUAUGAACAAGCAGGACACAGCCACUCAAGGUCAACAGCUAAGUUGGUGGCUGAUGCAACCCUCUGUCACGCCUCUGUGCUUUUGAAUGAGCUGUUUCUGACUCCAGGAUGUCAGCCUUCCUCCACCGGGCAGGUUCCUUCUGGACCUACACUACCUCUCCUCCUUCCUCCUCGGACUGAGUAUCAAGCCAGCUCAGCGAUUGGCCUCCUCGUGAAGCUUCCCUCUAGUCCCUCUUGGCUCCUGUUCCCUGAAAGGAGUUGCCUGCAGCACACUAUGGAACUAUAGCAGGAGGUCGUGAACUACUCGAAUUAACUCCCUGGAGUUAUCUCUUGCCGGGAAGGAAGGACUCGGGCAGGGUUUUCAGAGGGAAGUCUGGGAAUUUCUGUUGAUGUAUGUGAAUACAUUAUUUUGCUAAGCAAUGCCACGAGGUAAGAGCUAUUGGUUUCUGUUGUUUAACACAUCUACUGUUUAAAUCAGUAUUUCAGGCUCUGAGGUACAGCAGGGAUGGAAAUGGAUAAGAAUCCUUCCCACUGGGUCAGUGGUCGGUAGUGUGCUUGCACAACGCUGCGUGUAUCGAACCCAGCAUGGCAUAAAAACUGUGCAUGGACUGGAGAGCUGGCUCAGCAGUUACGAGCACAGGCAGCUCUUCCAAAGGAUCCAGGUUUGAUUGCCAGCAUUCAUACCCACAGUUUAUGUUUACAACUGUCUGUAACUCCACUUGCAGGGGAUCCAGCGCCCUCUUCUGGCUUCCAAGGGCAUCAGGCACACAGAUGUACAGGCAAAACACACAUACACACACACAGGGAGAGAGAGAGAGAGAGAGAGAGAGAGAGAGAGAGAGAGAGACAGACAGACAGACAGAGAGACAGAGAGACAGAGAGAGACAGAGAGAGACAGAGAGAGAGACAGACAGACAGACAGACAUAGAUACAUAGAUGGCCAUGGUGGUAUGUAUCUGUAAUCCCAGUAUUUAAGAGGCAGAGAUAGAAGGAUGGUAAGGUCUCAGUCGUCCUUGGCUACACAGUUCUAUGCCAGCCUAGGCUAUAUAAAAUGUUUUCUCAAAAACAAAACAACAAAACACACAAUCAAACUCAGCGAUUAUAGAAAAAGGGUAAAAUAGGAGCAGGCGGCUUAUAAUACAGAAACGUGAAGCUGGUUUAACAUGGGAGCAUCAUGUGGGUGCUGGGAAGUGAACGCAGGUCCUCUGCAAAAGCAGUGCUCUUAACCAGUGAGCCAUCUCUCCAGCUCCCUCAGCCAAGUUUUAUUAAAAGCAAUGUGUGUGCGCAUCAGGACUAGCUGGUUUGGGCUAACACAGGGGGCCAGUAAUCUAGACAAAGAAAGAGAAGCUGGGGGUUGGGGAUUUAGCUCAGUGGUAGAGCGCUUGCCUAGCAAGCACAAGGCCCUGGGUUCGGUCCCCAGCUCCGAAAAAAAGAAAAGAAAAGAAAAAAAAAAGAAGAAAGAAAGAGAAGCUGGCUGGUCCUCAGCAUAGAAAACCAAACUAGCUCACCCUCCUUUGAAAGCUCCACUGAGGGGCUGGGGAUUUAGCUCAGUGGUAGAGCGCUUAGCUAGGAAGCGCAAGGCCCUGGGUUCGGUCCCCAGCUCUGAAAAAAAGAACCAAAAAAAAAAAAAAAAAAAAAAAAAAAAAGAAAGCUCCACUGAAAAGUUCCCCCUGGCAGCAAAAUGUGCAGCAAAUCCUUGUCUUCAAGGAAGCUAACCACCUUGAAUGUUUAAGCGGAAAGAGUAUUAAUCUACCUAGAGCAUCUCUUCCCUCCCUGCCUGCCUAUUUGUCUGACCUGUGGUCCUUCAUUCGGGAGGCGGAGGCUAGAAGAUCAGGAGUUCAAAGCCAGCCUGAGCUACAUGAGACCUUGUCCGGAACAAUCCUACAGCUGACAUCAUACUUAAUGGCAAAAAGUGGCUGCCUAUUCCCCAAGAUUAGCGGCAAAGGUGUGAGCUCCAACUCUUCUCCGUCGCUGUAUGAGUGGCCCCAGACUGCGCAAUAAGAGACUGAGCUCAGCCCUGGAUGGCACGUCUCUAUUAACUCCGCCACCACUGGGACCUGGGGAAGAGGAGGAUGGAGAGGUGGAAUGCUGUUUUCUGGAUGUGAUGUGAGCACUGCAGUCAGCUCACGGCAUCUGAGGUGACCCAUCUGCACAGUAUCAGACUAGCCAACGUCCCGGCACAGACAGCGGAGAUGACCUGCGAGCCCCACUCUUUCUUUCCUGAGGAGCUAUUGACCGAGGAAAUCACCUUUGGAAUAACGUCAAGUUUGAGAGGCUUACACUUGUGUUCCAUACUAUGCUGAAUGGUGUGGAAAACUCCGUGGUCACGCAAAGGAGUGGCUGGCACCUCUGUGUCCACAGACUGGCCAGUGGGUAGGUACUGUCCAGAAAAGGUCUCCUCUCUUCCUCCUGCUUUCGUCUUGGCUUUAGCUUCCGAGAGGCUGCAGGGCACGAGGCUCUGUGACCAAAGAGCCACCUGUGCCUCUGUUUCCCCACCUGCUGUGGCAGGGGGCCAGGCUAAUUGAACUGAUACUUCAGAGUGAGGAUUAAUAAUGACUGAGGUAGGGGGUGGAGCAAUGCCUCAGCCGUUAAGAGCAAUUGUUGCUCUUGCUGAGAACCGGUUCAGGUCCCAGUACCUACAUCCAGUGGCUCGGAACUGUCAGUUCCAGAGAAUCUUAAAUCCUCAUCUGGCCUUAACAGGCACAUGCAAGCGUGCGCUCUCUCUCUCUCUCUCUCUCUCUCUCUCUCUCUCUCUCUCUCUCUCUCUCUCCCCCCUCUCUCUCUUGCACACGGGUGCAAAUAAAUCUUUUUUUUUUUUUUGGUUCUUUUUU